rnacentral:tmRNA from 1 species
ACACUUGCAAAACAUAAAUACAUUGCUAUACUAUAGUAGUCGAAAGACUAAGAUAAUAAAGACUGUACAUGAUAGGUGCUAUGGACUCGGGGGCGGUACCCGACACCUCCACCAGUAGGGCGAGGGGGUGAAAUAGCUUCGACAUUCUCCGAAGGGUAUAAGUUUUAUCCAGCGAGAUUCGGCUGCCACGCAGGUGGAAACAGUUCAAAAACUUAAAUGCAAAAGACAAUUUUGCUAAUGUUGCAAUGGCUGCCUAGUCUUCGGACUAUAUUUCAAUAGAAAUAUUCACCUAGUGUGAUAGGCUGUUGUAACGGGGCCUGGGAGAGCCUGUCAACAGAAUCUCCCGUG